UGCAUAUAUGAAAAUGUGGCAAAUUAAUAUUUGUUACUUUUGUAGCAUAUAAACAUAAUUGUAAUUGUAAUUAUAUAUAAUAAUUGUAAGUGAAGAAAAGACCAAGAAGUGAAGCGGAUAAAAUUGAGCAGAAAGUUGCUGAGGGACUAUAGCUUUACUCUGCAGGAGUCAUGUUUUAGAAGAUAGUAUUCGGUUGAGGGUUGUUCUUUUCCUAAUCGCCACAGAGAAGCUCCUUUUCUUUAUAAUACGUUCCCUGAAUUAAAAGUUAUGAAUAAUAUAUCUGAGUUUAUAAGGAAACCUGGCUUUGGUGCUUUGCAUCUCUGCUACUGGAGUCACCUAAUUUAAUAUUUUUGAGCUAAAGGAAUGUAUUAUAUAUUAAAAGUUAUUGUUUUGUUAUGUGGUGAAUAUUUCUUUUAAAUUCAAAGAUACUGCAUGAGCAGUCUUUAUAUAUUCUAAACCUUAGCUUUCCGUGUGUGUUGUAUUGUGCUCCGUGUAUUGGGAGAUAAGUUGUAUCUUGUUGCUAAUUUCUUGAAAUGUAUGCUUCUGUUAACGACUGUCAUUAAUGUAAGUUGUGAAUUCAUUUUGCAGAAGCUUGACUCGAAGAUCAACUAUGAUGUGUUGGACGAACUUUUUAAUGACUCGGUUUCUCCAGAUAACAAGAAAAGCCGUCUAAAUGAUGAGGUGUACGCCAGUGGAACAGAAUACGUGAAGCAGAAUAUGAAGGAAAAUGACUCUGAACUGCUUCCAGAAAACGAGAAUGAAGGUGGACCAGAGGAAUUUUCUGAGGGCUUGCAAUAUGGUAAUGAAGAAGACUACAUUGAUGAUUAUGGAUAUGAUGAGGAAUAUUAGAAUGAUUGAAAUACCUAUUUUUUCAUCUAUAAUAAAGUUGGACUUGGACGACAACAAAUAGAUGGCAGCGAGAUUUUAACUGUUGUACAUCGUUUCUAUAUUGCAGCUUUAGUGAAUCAUCUGAAAUUCAUUAUUUUAUGCAAAAGAUAAUAAAUACACCGUUAGAAAUGCUCUCUAUAUUAGUCAAAUUUCAGAUCUGAGAUGACCACAACUAUUUGUAUUGUUUCAGGUGGCCUUAAUUUCUGUAAUCUGCACGUGAAAGCAUUGUAACAAAUCAUUAUGAUAAUUUUAUUUAUUUUUUUGAUAUUUAACCAAAUACAUUAUUUGCUUC